rnacentral:rRNA from 1 species
GGGUUCUAUGGAGCCCCGCGGAGUGAGGACAAACAUCAUAGCUGGCGGUGUCUCCACACACUACAUGCCAUCCAACAUCAGACAUUGUUGUGUGUGGGCGAUUUCAAUGAAACUUUGUAUGGCACCGAGCACUUCAGUCGAUCACCUAGAUCAGAGAGCCAAAUGCGUGCAUUUCGAGAGGUGUUGGAUGAUUGUGCCAUGCAGGACUUGGGUUAUUCAGGUGUGCCAUACACUUGGGAUAACAGGCAGGCGGGUACUGCUAAUGUAAAAGCUAGGCUUAACCGAGGUGUAGCUAAUUCUGAAUUCUUACAACGCUUUGAGCUAGCACAUGUACGUCAUAUAAGUGCCAUAGAAUCAGAUCAUUGCUUUGUGCUUGUGGAGACUCGUGAUGCAAUUAAUAAAAGAGGACCACGACAGUUUCGUUAUGAAAGCGUGUGGCAAUCCCAUGCUGAUUAUGAUAGAAUUCUUGCAGAUUUGUGGCGACAAAAUCAUACAGGA